rnacentral:rRNA from 1 species
CUAUGGAGAGUUUGAUCCUGGCUCAGGACGAACGCUGGCGGCGUGCCUAAUACAUGCAAGUCGAGCGGACGAUUCGAAAGCUUGCUUUUGAAUCGUUAGCGGCGGACGGGUGAGUAACACGUGGGCAACCUGCCCUGUAGACGGGGAUAACACCGAGAAAUCGGUGCUAAUACCGGAUAACACGAAAUGUCGCAUGACGUUUCGUUGAAAGGCGGCGCAAGCUGCCGCUACAGGAUGGGCUCGCGGCGCAUUAGCUAGUUGGUGAGGUAACGGCUCACCAAGGCGACGAUGCGUAGCCGACCUGAGAGGGUGAUCGGCCACACUGGGACUGAGACACGGCCCAGACUCCUACGGGAGGCAGCAGUAGGGAAUCUUCCGCAAUGGACGAAAGUCUGACGGAGCAACGCCGCGUGAGCGAAGAAGGCCUUCGGGUCGUAAAGCUCUGUUGUUAGGGAAGAACAAGUAACGUAGUAACUGGCGUUACUA